rnacentral:rRNA from 1 species
UACGUAGGGGGCUAGCGUUGUCCGGAAUCAUUGGGCGUAAAGAGCGCGUAGGCGGCCAGAUAAGUCCGGUGUGAAUGUCACAGGCUCAACCUGUGAAUGCCGCUGGAAACUGUCUGGCUUGAGUCCGGGAGGGGCGAGUGGAAUUCCUGGUGUAGCGGUGAAAUGCGCAGAUAUCAGGAGGAACACCAAUGGCGAAGGCAGCUCGCUGGAACGGAACUGACGCUGAGGCGCGAAAGCGUGGGGAGCGAACAGG